CGUAACAAGGUCUCCGUAGGUGAACCUGCGGAGGGAUCAUUACAAGUGACCCCGGCUACGGCCGGGAUGUUCAUAACCCUUUGUUGUCCGACUCUGUUGCCUCCGGGGCGACCCUGCCUUCGGGCGGGGGCUCCGGGUGGACACUUCAAACUCUUGCGUAACUUUGCAGUCUGAGUAAACUUAAUUAAUAAAUUAAAACUUUUAACAACGGAUCUCUUGGUUCUGGCAUCGAUGAAGAACGCAGCGAAAUGCGAUAAGUAAUGUGAAUUGCAGAAUUCAGUGAAUCAUCGAAUCUUUGAACGCACAUUGCGCCCCCUGGUAUUCCGGGGGGCAUGCCUGUUCGAGCGUCAUUUCACCACUCAAGCCUCGCUUGGUAUUGGGCAACGCGGUCCGCCGCGUGCCUCAAAUCGUCCGGCUGGGUCUUCUGUCCCCUAAGCGUUGUGGAAACUAUUCGCUAAAGGGUGUUCGGGAGGCUACGCCGUAAAACAACCCCAUUUCUAAGGUUGACCUCGGAUCAGGUAGGGAUACCCGCUGAACUUAAGCAUAUCA
rnacentral:misc_RNA from 1 species